rnacentral:lncRNA from 1 species
UGACAGAGGAUUUACUUUCAGAGGCCCCGCUAAGGAUAACCAAAAAAGGGCAUGUAGCAAGACACUUUUGGCAGCUCGCACGAAUUUUCGGAGGUUUUUUUAGCUCUUGGUUUUCUGAUGAGUGGCUUCCUGAGCAUGCCUGGGGAAUGACAGGCAUCUCUGCAGGCAGGCUGGACCCACCUUGGCUUGAGCGCAUCGGAAUAAAGCCAGGACAAUGCAUUCCUGCCAAUUGUAAACAUCGGGGAUAUGUAUCCACUUAGCAUUGGCUUUUUGGGAGGGGCCAAGGGAAAGCUGCGCUUUUAUUGAAUAGAGCUGUGUGUGUCUGUGUGUGUGUGUGUGUGUGAGAGGCUGCUGCCGUGCCUUUCUCCAGCCGGGCUUUAUUCAUUUCCUUCCUCCGAGCUGGGAACUUCGCAGCCCGAGUGCCUGUAAUAACCAUUGGGAUACUCAAAGAAUCCCUUGGGAGCUGAAGAGGCAGCAUCUUCCAGGCUCAGGGGCAUCACAUCUGCCUCACAAGACUGCUGGACCACUGGACAGCCCUGGUGUAUUCCAGGCACCUGCACCACCCACCUGCAUCCCCAGGAAAAUAAUGCCUAGCUGCAAAAUUCUGCAAAAUAAAUGUACAGUGUUAUUUCUUGGAGGAGGAAUGCAGAUUCUCGUUUGCUUUUUGAUUUUCUGUAUCAAGAGUAAAUGUAAAGUAACUGAACUGACUGGAAAAUGUUUGCUGGUAAAUACUAAAUAAUAAAUGUUUGGUAGUAGCUGAGACCUCAAAUAGCAAGAAAAAGCGUUUUUGAGACGUUGAUGUGCUUUUGUGUAGGUACCAGAGGAAAAAAAAAGGUAAAUAUAUUAAUACUUAAUAAUAUAAUAAGCUAAUAGUUUUAAUUUUUAUUAAUACUAAUAGCUAUUAGGUAUCUUUCCAGAAUCUUGCAGUUGAACAUUUAUUUCUAUUGAUGUAAGACAGGUAUUUAACUCUUCAAAAAGUUAUAGCUGGACUCUGUAGGAUACUCGAAACUUUUGAGAACUGAAGAGACACUGUAACCUUCUGUAUGCUAUCUGUACCCCAAAAAAUUAAAAUUAAUUACAAAAAAAAAAAAAAGAAAAACCAGCUGAACCAACAAAAAUAAACUAACACACACCAAAACA